rnacentral:rRNA from 1 species
CCUACGGGCGGCAGCAGUGAGGAAUAUUGGUCAAUGGACGAGAGUCUGAACCAGCCAAGUAGCGUGAAGGAUGACUGCCCUAUGGGUUGUAAACUUCUUUUAUAUGGGAAUAAAAUGUUCCACGUGUGGGAUUUUGUAUGUACCAUAUGAAUAAGGAUCGGCUAACUCCGUGCCAGCAGCCGCGGUAAUACGGAGGAUCCGAGCGUUAUCCGGAUUUAUUGGGUUUAAAGGGAGCGUAGGUGGAUUGUUAAGUCAGUUGUGAAAGUUUGCGGCUCAACCGUAAAAUUGCAGUUGAAACUGGCAGUCUUGAGUACAGUAGAGGUGGGUGGAAUUCGUGGUGUAGCGGUGAAAUGCUUAGAUAUCACGAAGAACUCCGAUUGCGAAGGCAGUUCACUGGACUGCAACUGACACUGAGGCUCGAAAGUGUGGGUAUCAAACAGGAUUAGAUACCCGAGUAGUC